GGAAGGAAGUUUUGAAUGGCUGCCAUCAGGGACUGGGAGACUGAGGCAAGCAGAGAGAGAGUCACAUCCUGAUGAGAGGGAGCAGCUCCUCUGCCCGCAGCCUGGUGCUGGGACCACCCCAGUUACUUUGCAAGGGCUGUGCAGAGUGGAUUUCCAGCACCCACUGAGCGUCCCGGCUGGGAGGCUUAACAGAUGUGGCAGAACUGAAGCAUGGAAAGUCUGUCUAUGGGAGAAAAGUAUCUUGAGACAUGAGAUGCCAACAGCUAUGAACCUCACUCAUCAUCUGAUACCUGCCUUGGGAAAGCACGUGAAAGCAGAUUGAAGUUGUUAAGGUAAGUGUGUGAAGUGCCAAAGUAGAGAGCAGGCAGCUGUUCAGUAAGUGAAACAUGGUGAAAAUGGGCACGUCCAAACGGUGACAUGGCGAGCUGCAUUCCUCAGCCAGCUGUGGCCUGCCCUGAUAUGGCAGCGUGCAGCCUUUUUCAAGGAGUAAGCACCCACCAAGUCCAUCAAAGAAGCCUUAACGAGGUGUGGUGUGAGGGCUGAGAGGCAGGGAUGGUAAACUUCCUCCUCCCUUUCCCUGGGUGCAGCUGCAUGGAGCUUUCAUCCCAUUUCAGUGCAGCUGAAUCCCACUAACUCCAUCCCAGGCAGACCUAAUGGACUAGCACAGGCAGAAACAGCCAGAAUACAGUUUAAGAAAGUGCUCUUUGCUGCCUCCUGGCUAAAUGUUGAUUCUUCAUGAAAACAGAUUCUAAAUCAUCCUAAGCUGAGAUGCUUGUGUGCGAAUUUGGGUGAAUGCGUAAAAUAUGUAAAUCCAGGACCAUGCUAAGGUGACAGUGUUCACAAUUCAAGUCUUGGUAUACUGUUGACAGUCUGAUCUCAGCAUCUGUUGUGCGAGUUAAUUGGCAUAGUUUGGCUUCACAUCUAGUGUUAGGCUGAGCAGAAAGAUGAACACGCUGAGCAGAUUAAGGUAAAGCCAAGAACAAGAUUUCUGUUAAUGUCAGUGAAAGUACAUUUGCCCAUAGAAUGAUCGUGCAAAUGUGAUGUUUCUCCCCAUCAAUCAUUUACUCUUUUGCUGCUUUCCAGGCAUUGGAAUUUUGUGUUGUUUUGUUUCUUUGUGAUUCAGGAGAAAAAUAUUUGUCAUCACACGGUUCACAGUCACUGGACAAUGUUCUUGUUUAAUGUCACUGUCAGCUUGGUCAUGGGAGAUCGCUCCCAUUAUAGACUGAGACGACCGAAAAGCCUUUUAACAUUAUUUGAUUCAUCUCUCCCAAAGGUUGAGUGAGUUUUUUUUAACUAUACUGAGUAUGAAUAAAUACCAGUAGGUAGGAAUAUAUUCAGAGAGCAAUAGAAGGAAGAGUAAGAAAAACAACUGCUGGAGAAAACAAAUGAAUAGAAAGAAAAGUGGAUGAUGCCCACUUGGAAUAGGUAAUUUUGGAUCUACAGUGAUUUAGAGUUUAAAAUCCAUACAAUGUCAGCGUAACUUGAGAUUGGAUAAACUUCUAAUUGAUGUUAAGGACCUGUUUGUGAACUUCAAGAAGAAGUACUAUGAAUAACAGCGGGAACAACUUCUGAUAUGCAAAAGUGAUCUUUUGUAUAUUAAUAAAUUAUGUUCAUUAGCUAAAAUCAUAAGAUUCUAGGUGUUGGUUUUUUAAAAUAUACAUGACUUCGUCUUUUGUGAAUCAUUUCUGUCCACGUCCAGACUAAGGAGUUCAAACCUACUCUCUACGUUUUUACUGGGCUCACUGCAAAGCCCAUUUACAGCAAAGGAGACUUUACAUCAACUGUAACACGUCAGGCUGGUUAAGUAUGUUGUAAGUGAGCAAAAUUCUCCUCCUCCCUCCUCAUUUCAUCUCACUCUUCAGUCUCUCUACGUUUUAGGCUCUUUAUUUUGCUUUGUGUCCAUUCUUUCUUCUCCUCCUGAGUAGAGCUGAGGUUCAAGCCAAAAUUUAACAAGUAAAAUUUGACUGGGCAAAUAUAUUAAUUACUAUCAGUGCAUUUACCUCUUACUAAAUCACUGAAGUGGAAAUCUUAGUAACAUCUUUUAAAGUGAAAUUAAUGUUUCUUUAACUUCGUUGCUUCAUAAGAAAAACAGAAGUAAAAUACCUAGAAGCUGCCCUUGCAGGGUUUAUAUUGUUAUUUUUGCCUUUUAGUGGGUUUUCAGUUAAAGUAUUAUGUAUGGAUGUGUGAGAUGUUGAUCUCGUCAGUAAAAUCUCACAACCUCUGUGUGCAGCAGGGCAUGACUUUGGAUAUCAUCAGCGAAGAACGUGUGCUUCUCCCAAGAGGUGAUUUGCGUUCCAGCCGUGAAAAUGCAAUGUUUGUAGUAGAAGAUGGAAACUGUGAAAAGUUACCAAGAAUGCAGGUGCACUGCAAUAAAACCUCAGCAAACAGAUGGGAUUUCUAAAAUUCUGAUGUUAAUGAUGCUGUUUGUUUCUCUUCAUCUGUCAGAGCAUCCUCGAGACUCACCUUUUUAGUUCUAUUAAGAAUUUUUAACCACUUUUAAUUAAGAUUAGAUUGAAUCCCCACAGUUGUAAAUAAAUCCUUGAGCUCACUGUCCUGGUGAACUCUGUGAAGAUGCCAAAACUUCUAGGGCUUAGGACUAGUAUUGUUGAAUUUUAUUGUGGUUUUUUUUUCGUUGUUGUUGUUGUUACUUUUUUAUUAUUGUUUGUUUGUGUCUCUCUGUGCAUGUGUACAAAUAAAUAGAUUAGGAACAAGAAUAAUUAAAUAGUAGGGAAUUUUACUAUUUCCUUAUGUAUGUGUUUUAUGAAAUCCCUCAGUAAAAUUAUCCUUCCUUUGAAAUCAGUAGGAGGUUUGCUUUCGACUUGAAUGAAACUCAACUCCUUUACUGUCUGGCUUUCGCCAUGAUCUGGCGUGAUUUAAUGGUCAGGCUUGGUGACCUAGAAGGUCUUUUCCAACCUGAAUGCUAUGAUUCUAUAAUUGCAUGUGAGGGCUUUGAAAAGCAAAGAACAAAGUUGUUGUUAUUUUUUAAAUAAAAUUUAUUACAGAAAUUGCUGAUCAGGAAUAUUACCCUGUGUGCAUCUUCUACAAGGGUGGUAGAUGCAUCUCCAAUUGUGGAUGCGCUGCAGAUUUAUGUUUCACUUUUCAGUGCUGUCUGUGAAUAGAAGUUUCAUUUUCCUUUUCUCUGGGGGGUUCAAUGUGUUUUUUAUUUGACAAGUAUGAUCCCUACCUCUUUGUGGUAGAAGACAUUGUAUUUCCAUCAUUCAUGUAGGAUACUGAUGCUAACAUCUUCCAGCACGCUCCUGAGACCAUGUCCUGGAGUUACAGGUUUCAAAUCUAGUAGAUAUUUGCCUGGCAUCUCUUGGGCCUGCAGAGAAGAAUACAAUGAAGGCAAAGAAGUGACCAUGGAUGAGGUAGUCCUAUAGUACUGGUGUGUGCAUGCUACUACUUUUUCCAGAGAUCAGCCACUUUUCUACACUGGCAGAGAAGUCAUAGUGACCUGUCAAGAAGUUUAAUCAGAAUGUGCCAGCAGUGCACUUCACCAAAACUGUGGUGCUGGAGACUGGUAUGCUCCUUAGCCCUAGAGCAGAUGGAUACACAUGGGGAAAAAGAGCCAUGUCCUGUCCCCAGCGGCGUGUUCCAACUCUGAAGCGAGAUGUCCACUCCUGCAAUAACAACUCUGUGCCAGCAGCAUAACUGCAUUUGAGGAAACAUCAGUGGCAGACCGAAGAAAAAAAUGCAGGAAGGUGGAGUGGAAAAAUUAUGGAAAUAUGUGGACAGUAUCCCAAAAUAUAUGAUAUCUGAAGGAACUGUGGAGAAUGCAGGCAAGUAAAUGAAAAACAUGCUAGAAAAGUUUUGGAGAUCUGACUUCAUUGUCAGAAACUGCUAUUUAGGUUACUUGUUAAGUAGGUAUGACAAUUUUUCCUUUAUUUAUUCAGCUGUUUAUCUAGUUUAUGUCUCAGCAUGUUUGACUUCAGGUGCUCCUGGUAAAGAAGAGAAGAAUAUCAGCACAAUAACUUCCAUUCUCUUUUGAAAUGUAAUUUCCUCCCUGUUUUCUCAGUGACCUGGAGCUAGUCCUAUAAACACGCUUGGCUCCAAAAUGUAAGACAAUUUAUUUUUCUGUCGAGAUAGUGAGGGAUUUAGAUAUGAAGUAACGCAUCCUUAUGCUUUGCAGCUAAUACCAAUUUCCUGCUUUUUGCUGAUAUUUCGAUAUCUCUGCUUACCGUGGUCAUCUCUGUAUGCGAGUUACAAAACACAGAAGCAACAUAAAGACAAAUUUUAACAGAGCAAUAGCACGUUAGAUAGAGCAAGUCACAAAAACAGUGCCAGGCUCUGAAAAGUCUCUAUUUACAGAGCUUCCCUAUGGUCCUUUCUGAACCGAUUAACAGAUUCUAGGGCAACAAAUAGAGCUCCUUCCAAGUGAUACCAACCCCUCUCUCACUUCUGCAGCCGCCCUACUUCUAUCUGCCCAUGUGAUACUAUCGAGUGCAUACGCAUUUACUUUACUCAACAGAAAGGAGAAAUAGGUUCCAAAGAUUUUUAAGUAAUGGUCAACAGGAAGGAGAAAAUGAAGUUCUUCUGAAUGGAUGCAAUAUUAUUUUAUUAUUCCAUUGUUAUUUGAAUAUUUUUAUUUGUUACUUGGCCUUGUGAAAUUAUAAAAAAUAAAAUAAAAUCCAAGAUGGUUAAGAGAACAUGUCAGAAAAUAUAUCCAUAGGUCUUUGCAGGGUUUGUUAAUAUACAUAUGUAGGCUGUUUUAUAUGCAAAGGCAUUCAGAUGUAUUUCCCUUCACUUUUAUCCAUGUAUCAGAUUUCUAGUUAAUGUAUCGCUUCCAAUUAAGUGUAACACCAUAGGAAGGAGAAGGUGACUUUGUUGUCUGAGUGACUAGAAUGAUGGCUAAAAUCUGGCAGCUGCACCAUUUCUUUCUAAACCAAUCCCAAAUUCAAUUAAAAUUCUAUUUUGGGGGCACAAGUAAUAAUCUGUGAUAAUUGCAUUACAGUAAUUUAAACUACAUACUUUUUAAUCUCAUGUAAUUUAAAUGCAUCCGAGGAAGACAGCUUGAGCUGCGAAUUUUGUUUCCUAAUAUUGGAAGUAAUGUAUGUAAAUGGCAACUAAAUUAUAAAACUUGGCUUCACAUUAUUUUUAUGUCUGUGUAAUGCUCUCAGAUUGGUAUUACUCGAACUAUAGAAAGAUGUACAAAAUUGCCAUUUAGCAUAUGAUUAGCACUAUUAUUUGUUUGAGUCCUCAUAAUUCUAGAAACAUUUGGGUUUUUAUUCUGUCUAUCAAUUAAAAGAAGAAGAAUUAUUAAGGAAAAUAUUGCAUUU